rnacentral:lncRNA from 1 species
GGAACUGAAAUAUUAGGAACACUCAAUUUUUAUUACUUUAGCCAUUUAUUUUUCGUGCACUUUAAUUUUUUAUUAUUAUUUAUUAAUUUAUCUUUUCCUUCUCUUGGCAGGUUUUUAUAGUUUAGAACUAGAAGAAAUCCGUCAAGACCAUUACUUUUUGACGAAGAAAUCGAUUGUACAGUUCGUAGAAAUCCAAGAGAAAUAGGGCGAAACUUAAGAUACACAGAGAACGAGCA